UGCGGGCUCGCAGGCGGGCGACGGUCCAGUCCGGCUCCAGCCGCUUCUCGGAUCCCUCUGGUCCUGGUGCCUGGCGCUCUCCGAGGUCCUAACCCAGCGGGCGGGUCUGCCGCAGGCUCCGCCCCCGCCGUGGGAGUGAUCUUAAAGUUUCCAGCAUCUGUGGAUUGACUGCCGCUGAAGGACAAAGGGGAUUGGACCAGAUGUUGAUAAAAUUUGAGGAUGAGGAUAGUUUUACAAUGAUGAGUGACUAUGCACAAUCAACUAAAUACAACAUGGCAAAGGAGAGCAGUGUUGACUCAAGCUAGUGCUUUUUGCGACUUUAUGAGACAGUAUGGCAUUUUCCCCCCAGGAGGCAAUGACAUCCAUUCUGUCUCCACUGACUCACUUGGUGGGAACAGGAAGUCCACAUGCUAAUGCAAAUAAAGAGGAGGAGGAAUGGGACAGGAGGCAUCCCAUCCGGUAUAAAGAUGAGGACUGAUGUAUAUGUGUUAUAUGUGUAUGUAAGUAUCCCCAGAUUGAGUUCUGAAGAUGUUAAAAACAGGUAUAAAAAUGAAAAUUUUACCACUUUAAAAGAAGAGUAUGAAGGAAUACUGAGAUCUAGAAUGGUGAUGUGUCUGGUAAGAACUGAUUUUUUUAAAUCAAUGUUUAUCAGUAGAAAAAAUAGCAAGAAAUACAUUAUAUGACAAACAAUAAAAUUCAAGAUGUUGCUUACCUGGAUUGCAGUGAGGAGGAGCCCCAAAGGCUUUUAUAUAUUGCAGAUGUUUCUUCUACUUUUUUUUAAAACAAUGAAUGGGUGGCAUGUGACUGUUCAUCACAAAUUGUUAUCAAUUUUUACAUAUUCAUAUACUAAAUAUAUGUUAAAAGAAUAAGGGUCAGGCCAUUAUAAAACUGUACAUGUUGGAUUUUCUGACAAUUGUGUUUCCUUUGCAAAACCACGGAAAGGCUUUUAGACCUUUCUCAGCCUCUAACAGAAAGUGACAGGAGUCUGUGAACUGAAAAGUAUGCCUUGGGUUGGCAGAAACACUGAGGGGUUAGCAAAAAUUUGCCAGCUAAUAGCACAGCUGUGAUUUAGCUAUUGUACCCUAGACUCCUGUUUGAUCCCUGAACCCAGCUAUGGGUGUUAGAGGAUUGUGGUGCUCAGGAAUCAGCCAUGAUACGAGAAGGGCCAUAGUGAAGAGGACUCAGUGAUUCCUGAGUGACAUCAGGUACCAUAACGGGCACAGGAAUUGCUACCUACUGUCAUCACUGUCCUCUUAACAAACUAGCAUUCACAUUAACAGUUAACAGCAUGAAAACAUAAGAAAACAAAACAACAAAAAACCUCUCAUACUACCCAAUCUCUGCCUCACAAAGACUGUGGAAGGACAGGGGGAAAAUGUUUUGGUUUGGUUUGGUUGGUUUUUUUUUUUUUUUUCAUUGCACAACCAUAAAAAAUGAAGAGCAGAACAGCCUUCCCCAGGUCACUGACCUUAUGGUCAGGAUACUGACCUCAAAUCCAAAUUUUCUUCAUUUGCAAACUCAGUGGUUCUGG